GAGGGGAUAGCUCAGUGGUAGAGCGUAUACUUAGCAUGCAGGAGGUCCUGGGUUCAAGCCCCAGUACCACCA
rnacentral:tRNA from 1 species